UAGGGAAUCUUCGGCAAUGGGGGGAACCCUGACCGAGCAACGCCGCGUGAGUGAAGAAGGUUUUCGGAUCGUAAAGCUCUGUUGUAAGAGAAGAACGGGUGUGAGAGUGGAAAGUUCACACUGUGACGGUAUCUUACCAGAAAGGGACGGCUAACUACGUGCCAGCAGCCGCGGUAAUACGUAGGUCCCGAGCGUUGUCCGGAUUUAUUGGGCGUAAAGCGAGCGCAGGCGGUUAGAUAAGUCUGAAGUUAAAGGCUGUGGCUUAACCAUAGUACGCUUUGGAAACUGUUUAACUUGAGUGCAAGAGGGGAGAGUGGAAUUCCAUGUGUAGCGGUGAAAUGCGUAGAUAUAUGGAGGAACACCGGUGGCGAAAGCGGCUCUCUGGUCUGUAACUGACGCUGAGGCUCGAAAGCGUGGGGAGCGAACAGGAUUAGAUACCCUGGUAGUCCACGCCGUAAACGAUGAGUGCUAGGUGUUGGAUCCUUUCCGGGAUUCAGUGCCGCAGCUAACGCAUUAAGCACUCCGCCUGGGGAGUACGACCGCAAGGUUG
rnacentral:rRNA from 1 species